rnacentral:tRNA from 1 species
GAGGGUAGAUCUCAGUGGUAGAGUGUGGGCCUAGCAUGCACAACGUCCUGGGUUCAAUCCCCAGUACUUCCA